rnacentral:rRNA from 1 species
AGCUCCAAUAGCGUAUAUUAAAGUUGCUGCAGUUAAAAAGCUCGUAGUUGCAUUUCCGAGGCAAGGGAUUAGUCCGACCUUUGGUGGGUAUUUAAUCCUCUUGCCUCGUCCUUGAGUGGUGCUUCUUGGUAUUAAGUUAUCGAGGAGAUAGCCGCUCAUCGUUUACUGUGAGAAAAUUAGAGUGUUCAAAGCAGGCUUAUGCCGUUGAAUAUAUUAGCAUGGAAUAAUAAGAUAGGACCUCGGUACUAUUUUGUUGGUUUGAGAACCAAGGUAAUGAUGAAUAGGGACAGUUGGGAGUAGUCGUAUUCAGUUGUCAGAGGUGAAAUUCUUAGAUUUACGGAAGACGAACUACUGCGAAAGCAUUUACCAAGGAUGUUUUCA